AUCGAAUCUUAUAUUCCUCGUUUAAUGACUAGUGAACAUCUAAUUGAAUAUUGAUAAAUAUUUUAGAUUAUCUACAUAAUAAUAAUCAACAUUCAAUUUAUCUAUGAUGCAAUAUUCAUCACACGGUCGCACACAUACUGCCAAACAGAGCAGACUCAUGUAUAAGAAAUUCCCACAUACACAAGCCUAUCAAGGUUGCCACCUCAGUAGUAAUAUUGGGACAGGGAGAGAGAGUAAGAGAGAGAAAGAGAGAGGUGCAAGAGAAAGAAAGAGCGAAAAUGGAAGAAACAGAGAGGCUAUGAUAGAGAAAAAGCGAGAGGAAGAGAUGAGCAUUUCCGUUUCAAAGAGAGAAAAAAGGAAAAAAACGGUUUCAAAAAAAAAAAGAUGACAUCAAUUUCAGUCUUAUCAAAUCAGGUCAGAAUAAUAUAGGUGCAAAAGAAUUUCUGUACCAUGGUCGUCCUGAAAUCAGGAUAGGAUAUGCCUAUUGAGUAUUCAUCAACUUCGAUAUCCAGAUAACACUGACAAAGCCAUGACUCAAUUGAUUCAAUUUGAUGAUCGAUUGGAUUUUUGCCGCAGGCAAUUAAUCAAGCUUAAUGAAAUACACAUGAUCAUUGAUCAUGGGAAUUGCGUGUAUUUCGACAGCACGAUGAUGAUGUUUAUGAUGCUGGCUUCUGACUCACGGAAAAUUAGUUCAGGGAAUGAAAGAACAAUUAAUUCUACAAUGUACGGGCCGUAAAUAAUAUCUAGUCGAUUUGUGUUGGUAUAUUAUAUCAGUUAAAUAUAUUUUCAGCAUUAUCUACAGCUUGCGAAUGCUUUGUUGCAUACUUGCGGCAGCCAUCUUGUAUUGAGGGCAAAUACUUAUGUGGAUCUCUUAACCCCCAAUUAAAAAACUAUUUUAUUUGAAAUAUAGAAGAAGGAUUAGGUAUCGAUGUUCAAACGUGA